rnacentral:rRNA from 1 species
UACAGAGGUCCCAAGCGUUGUUCGGAUUCAUUGGGCGUAAAGGGUGCGUAGGUGGCGCCGUAAGUCGGAUGUGAAAUCCCGGGGCUCAACCCCGGAACUGCAUUCGAUACUGCCUUGCUAGAGUACUGGAGAGGAGACUGGAAUUUACGGUGUAGCAGUGAAAUGCGUAGAUAUCGUAAGGAAGACCAGUGGCGAAGGCGAGUCUCUGGACAGUUACUGACGCUGAGGCACGAAGGCCAGGGGAGCAAACGGG